CACAUUUACUGUGGAAAGUUUUUGUGUCCAAUCUUUGAGAGGGGAGGCUAUGCAUUAACUGAAGAUUGGUCCAAGUCUAUAUUUGUUUUAUCCAUGAACAAACGUAAAAGACUUCAUGUGAAGAAAAAAAUCCCUAGUAUUCCCGUGACAUUCUUAAAAGCUUCAUUUUCAUCUAUAGUGGCGGGCCGAUGACUAACAACAGAUCUUAAGGAGUUGAAAGAGUAAACAGAGGUUUAAAUCAAGAAUAUCCGCAAAUUUAUCAAAGAAGAAGCAUAUUUUAAUGUAUAAUAGAUAUGUGCAGAAGAACAAUUAUCUUCUUGAUGAGGUCAACACAUAGAUGCCACCAAGUUAUCAGCAGUUUUCAGCUGAAAAGCACUGGUCUAGAGGUGAAAUCAGGAACCUUAUUUGAUAAUAUUUUAGUUUAUGAUGACCCUGAAUAUGCAAAGAAGUUAGCAGAGGAGAUAUGGGGAAAAAAACAAAGAUGUUCUCUAUGAGGCAUUGACUAGACAUAGAGUAAGCUGGAAAAAAAGCCCUUCAAUUUCUAAAUCAACGAUUUUCAGAAUCAAAGCAGACAAGCAAGAAUGAUUGUCAACCCUACAUUCUGCUUAUAGAUGAGCUUGAUCUUUUUGUCACAAUAAAUCAAUUGGUUGCAAUAGUUUUUGGAGAUGCUCAUUGAGCAUUGGAGCUAUGUAGACGUGCUGCAGAGAUUACAAAAUUCAGAGUCCAAUAGUUGGAUGCUCCUCAAUUUGCUAUCCCAUUGCAAAUUAUCUCCCCCUUUGUAGAUGUUGGGGAUCCUCCUCUUGUGAGCUCAAUCUCCUGGUUUUUGGCUUCUUGACUGUUGGGUUGAUUGGGUCUCUGUUUUGGGUUGAAUCUACAUGGUUGAUGCUUUUUGUUCUCAAUUGUUACUUGUAUCAGGGUUGGUAAUGGUAUUCAUGUAUUCGUCUUCUAUAUGUAUUGGGGGACUUUUUGUAUCUUGACUUGUGGGGCCUCUCAUAUGUAAUGGGUUUUUUAGCAUUUUGGGUAGCGUUAGGCUUUUCUUUAUAUGGGCUACAAUCGGAGUUUUUCUUUCAGAUUCUUUCCUGCCGGUAUGCCCUUUUGAAUUUGGUUGUAAAUAACUUAAUAUUAAUAAAAGUUUAAUGGCUUUGCCAUUUUAUUUU